rnacentral:tRNA from 1 species
GCCAGAGUAGCACAGCUGGUAGUGCAGCUCACUCGUAACGAGCAGGUCGUCGGUUCGAAUCCGAUCUCUGGCU